rfam:Triticum urartu cultivar G1812 contig750306, whole genome shotgun sequence.
AUAGUACUCCCUCUGUCCCAAAAUUCUUGUCUUAGAUUUGUCUAGAUACGGAUAUAUCAAGUCAGGUUUUAGUAUUAGAUGCAUCCGUAUGUAGACUCUUGAUAUAUCCGUAUCUAGACAAAUCUAAGACAAGAAUUUUGGGACGGAGGGAGUACAAA